GACGAACGCUGGCGGCGUGCCUAAUACAUGCAAGUAGAACGCACAGUUUAUACCGUAGCUUGCUACACCAUAGACUGUGAGUUGCGAACGGGUGAGUAACGCGUAGGUAACCUGCCUGGUAGCGGGGGAUAACUAUUGGAAACGAUAGCUAAUACCGCAUAAUAUUAAUUAUUGCAUGAUAAUUAAUUGAAAGGUGCAAUUGCACCACUACCAGAUGGACCUGCGUUGUAUUAGCUAGUAGGUGAGGUAACGGCUCACCUAGGCGACGAUACAUAGCCGACCUGAGAGGGUGAUCGGCCACACUGGGACUGAGACACGGCCCAGACUCCUACGGGAGGCAGCAGUAGGGAAUCUUCGGCAAUGGACGAAAGUCUGACCGAGCAACGCCGCGUGAGUGAAGAAGGUUUUCGGAUCGUAAAGCUCUGUUGUAAGAGAAGAACGGGCGUGAGAGUGGAAAGUUCACACUGUGACGGUAUCUUACCAGAAAGAGACGGCUAACUACGUG
rnacentral:rRNA from 1 species